rnacentral:rRNA from 1 species
UACAGGGGGUGCAAACGUUGCUCGGAAUUAUUGGGCGUAAAGCGCGCGUAGGCGGCCGCUUAAGUCGGAUGUGAAAGCCCCUGGCUCAACUGGGGAAGUGCACCCGAAACUGAGUGGCUUGAGUACUAAAGAGGGUCGCGGAAUUCCCGGUGUAGAGGUGAAAUUCGUAGAUAUCGGGAGGAACACCAGUGGCGAAGGCGGCGAUCUGGGCUGAUACUGACGCUGAGGUGCGAAAGCGUGGGGAGCAAACAGG